AAGCAGAAUUCAGAUUGCAAUAUAGCUGUUCAGUCAUUCGCCCUGCUCAAAAUAAGGUUGUCUCUUACUAUACCUCUCUGCUAUCCUUCUGUAGCAGCCAGGGACGCUUGGUCUCAUAUAU
rnacentral:snoRNA from 1 species